rnacentral:rRNA from 1 species
AUGACCGGCGGAGGCGGAGAGGACGUCCCCGCGCCGAGGCGGCGCCCCCUGACGGUGCUCCCCCUCGUCGCGCUCAUCUUCUACGACGUCUCGGGCGGGCCGUUCGGCAUCGAGGACUCUGUCCGCGCUGGCGGCGGCGCGCUGCUCCCGCUCCUCGGCUUCCUCAUCCUCCCGGUCCUUUGGUCGCUCCCUGAGGCCCUCAUCACCGCCGAGCUCGCCUCCGCCUUCCCCACCAACGCUGGCUACGUCGCCUGGGUCUCCGCCGCGUUCGGCCCCACGGUCGCCUUCCUCGUCGGCUUCUCCAAGUGGGCCUCCGGCACCCUCGACAACGCGCUCUACCCGGUGCUCUUCCUCGACUACCUCCGCUCCAGCGGGCUCGCCCUCGCGCCACCGAUCCGCUCUCUCGCCGUGCUCGGCCUCACCACCGCGCUCACCUACCUCAAUUUCCGCGGCCUCCACCUCGUCGGCCUGUCCGCGCUUUUCCUCACCGCCUUCUCCCUGUCCCCGUUCGUCGCGCUCACCGUGCUAGCCAUCCCCAAGAUCCGCCCUUCCCGCUGGCUCGCCGUCAACCCCAAGGCCAUCGACCCGCGCGGGUACUUCAACUCCAUGUUCUGGAACCUCAACUACUGGGACAAGGCGAGCACGCUCGCCGGCGAGGUUGAUGAGCCGAGGAAGACGUUCCCCAAGGCGGUGUUCGGCGCCGUGGCGCUCGUCGUCGGCGCGUACCUCAUCCCGCUCCUGGCCGGCACCGGCGCGCUGCCAUCGGAGACCGCGGCCGAGUGGACGGACGGGUUCUUCUCCGAGGUCGGGCAGAGGAUCGGCGGGCCCUGGCUGCGCGUGUGGAUCCAGGCCGCGGCGGCCAUGUCAAACAUGGGGCUCUUCGAAGCCGAGAUGAGCAGCGACUCCUUCCAGCUCCUCGGCAUGGCCGAGAUGGGCAUGAUCCCCGCCAUCUUCGCCCGGAGAUCGCGACACGGAACGCCCACGUACAGCAUCCUCUGCUCGGCGACGGGGGUGGUGGUCCUCUCCUUCAUGAGCUUCCAGGAGAUCAUCGAGCUCCUCAACUUCCUCUACGGGCUCGGCAUGCUCGCCGUGUUCGCGGCGUUCGUCAAGCUGCGUUUCAAGGACCCGGACCUGCCCCGGCCGUACCGGAUCCCGCUCGGCUCCGUGGGGGCAGCCGUCAUGUGCGUCCCGCCCGUGUUGCUCAUCGGCACCGUCAUGUGCCUCGCGUCGGCCACGACCAUCGUCGUCAACAUCAUCGUGCUCGCCGUCGGGGUCGCCAUGUACUUCGGCGUCGAACGUCUCAAGCGCAGCGGCUUGGUCGAGUUCUUGACGCCCGUGCCGUCCGACAGCUUCCACGGAUCGUCGUCCGACGACGACGUCGAGGAUGUUCGCGCCGUCCUCCUCCCCGCCGCCGUGCCCCCCGCCCAGGAGGAGGAAGUGGCCAGCAAGGCUGAGUAG